GCGCGUAAGGCCCUGAGGUGGGAACGCUGGCUGCGGUGAGAGGCAGGGGCACAGCGGAUGCAGCUGCACGAGAGGCUGGGGGCCAGAUUGAGCACAGGGGGCCUGAAGGUUAGGCCAAGACACCUUUCGUCUUUACCCUUGCGGAAUGAACAGCUAGCCAAGGCUUUCUAUAAGGGGCGUGGCACGACCAAGGCUGCCGUUUUAAGAGUCAUUUUGCAGAUCAAUUCUUGUGUGAGGGUGGAUCAGGAGGGAAAAGAAGGGGACUGAUGUGGGAAGACCGGUUCGGAGGCUGUGGAAACUGUCCAGCUCCAGAGGUUUCAGCUGCGAAGAUGCCUUUGUUUCUGCUCUGCCCAGGCACAUCCUUCCCCUGGGGCAAUGAGCUGCUGCCAAGCAACCUAACAAGCCUGCAUUGGAGGAGAAUGGAUAUCACUGAAAUUCCUGAUAUGGAAACAAAAAUGCACUGUCUUAACCAGAGGACAUGGCUCCUGAACAAAGAAGGUUACCCUCCGCCCAUUGCCUGCCCUGGAAGAAGACAGCUAAAUCCAAGGAUCAAAUCAAUCAGAGAAAAGCAAACAGUUUUAAACUUCUAAGAGGUGUGAUAAAUAAGUGGGGGCUGAAGCAAAACUGUUUAAAAGCAGCUGAGUCCUUUAUUUUUAAACAACAGUUUCCCUGAUGACUUGAGUUCAUUUGUUAUUCAAUCACUUCCCAGUCAAUGCUAAAGGUCUGAAAGCUUUUGGCAGGUUUCAGUGGAAUAAUUUAAGUGCUCUAAUAGAAAGACCAGAAGGGCGAAUUAUACAAAUUUAUUCUGAGUCAACCAAAAAUUUCACAAAAUAAGAGAACCUGUGGUUUGAGAAGAAAGAAUGCACAUCAAUGGGCGUGUAUGCCAUUCCAUACACGGGAUGCCAUUCCAAUGGACAAAGACCUUUAGUCCAGAUGACAAAUAACUCAGGUGUGUGGCUCCACCCAGACCCUAAUUUCACAGUUUCAUACUAAUUGAGUCACAUAUUAUGACUGUGGUGGACCUGUCUCUGUGCAUUUUCCAAUUUUCAGUGAAGUUCAUUAAAAAAUUACAGAGGUUAUCCAUUUGAAAAUGUUCCUUGGUUGACACUUUCUUUGAAGAUCAUCAUAAGCAAAGUUACUAUUUGUUGCACACACACAUUAUAAGUGUUCAUACAGUGGUUUUUUUGUUUGUUUGUUUGUUUUGUUUUUUGAGACAAAGUCUUGCUCUGUCACCCAGGCUGCAGUGCUCGGCUCACUGCAACCUCUGCCUCCCAGGUUCAAGAGAUUCUCCUGCCUCAGCCUCCUGAGUAGCUGGGACUACAGGUGCCCACCACCGCGCCUGGCUAAUUUUUGUAAUUUUAGUAGAGAUGGGGGUUUCACCAUGUUGGCCAGGAUGGUCUUGAUCUCCUGACCUUGUGAUCCACCUGCCUCCGCCUCCCAAAGUGCUGGGAUUACAGGCGUGAGUCACCAUGCCCGGCCCACACAGUGUUUAAUAAAUGGGAAUCCCAGUUAAUAUUUGUUUUCCUUUUUUUUU